GACGAACGCUGGCGGCGUGCUUAACACAUGCAAGUCGAACGGAAAGGCCCUGCUUUUGUGGGGUGCUCGGGUGGCGAACGUGUGGGUAACACGUGUGUAACCUGCCCUUUACUUUGGGAAAACUUCAGGAAACUGGGGCUAAUACCGCUUAUGAGCUCCUGCUGCGUGGUGGGGGGUGGAAAGUUUCGGCGGUUGGGGGUGUACUCGCGGCUUAUCAGCUUGUCGUUGGGGUAGUGGCUUAGGAAGGCGUUGACGGGUAGCCGGCCUGCGCGGGUGACCGGCCUCAUUGCGCAUGCGAUACGGCCCAGAAGCCUACGGGAGGAAGCAGCGGGGAAUAUUGCACAAUGGGAGGAAGCCUGAGGCAGCAACGCCGCGCGCGGGAUGACGGCCUUCGUGUUGUAGACCGCUUUCGCCUGUGACGAAGCGUGAGUGACGGUAAUGGGUAAAGAAGCACCGGCUAACUACGUG
rnacentral:rRNA from 1 species